CUGAAAUUGGUUUUUGUUGAUUGAAGAGAAAGAAAUGGAUAGGGCUAAAGAGACUGGACUUAGAAAUGUGAGCUCAACUUGCUCAAUCUUGGAGUCAGAUAAUUAUGAUCUGUGCUGAUGGAUGCUCUAUGAUUGAUCGAAGAAUGGGCAUUUAUGGAGUCAGAGUUACCAACUUUUAAAGAGAGAAACCCUCAGCUGGAUGUGGUUACUGAACUCAUUCAUAGGCAGCAUCCACAUUUGAAAGGCUUUUACAAGAACAAAAACGAGCGGGUGGUAUGCGUGAAGAAUAUGACUCCUGAAGAUAUCCUUCUUUAUGCAACCAGGCUAAGAAACGCAUUGGGAAGAAAGGUGGUGAAAUUGAAGACAAGGCAUGUAACCAAACACCCUAGUGUGAAAGGUACAUGGACAACUGAUGUGAAAUUUUGAGACACAGUAGUACCAAGUUCUCACAAUUUUGUUUGUAUGUUUCUUUAUUGUUCUAUGUAGUCAUGAUGGCAACUUUGCUGAAACAUUCAUUCUUUGGAGGUGAAUGAAACUGUUGUGUAAUGAACAAAGGCUAAUGAUGUCGUAAUAGAUGAUUGGACCCAAAUAUUUAAUAA